AACGAACGCUGGCGGCAUGCCUAACACAUGCAAGUCGAACGAGACCUCCGGGUCUAGUGGCGCACGGGUGCGUAACGCGUGGGAACCUGCUCUUAGGUUCGGAAUAACUCCCCGAAAGGGGUGCUAAUACCGGAUAAUGUCUUCGGACCAAAGAUUUAUCGCCUUUGGGUGGGCCCGCGUUGGAUUAGCUAGUUGGUAGGGUAAAAGCCUACCAAGGCGACGAUCCAUAGCUGGUCUGAGAGGAUGAUCCGCCACACUGGGACUGAGACACGGCCCAGACUCCUACGGGAGGCAGCAGUGGGGAAUAUUGGACAAUGGGCGGAAGCCUGAUCCAGCAAUGCCGCGUGAGUGAUGAAGGCCUUAGGGUUGUAAAGCUCUUUUACCCGGGAUGAUAAUGACGGUACCGGAAGAAUAAGCUCCGGCUAACUCCGUG
rnacentral:rRNA from 1 species